UUUAGCCGCCGGAUCCAGCGGCCACGAGCUCGAAGUCGUCAGAUCUGGCGACCCAAAGCUCUUGAUCACCGGAUCUAGCUGUUCCGA
rnacentral:pre_miRNA from 1 species